rnacentral:rRNA from 1 species
CGGCGGACGGGUGAGUAACGCGUGGGUAACCUACCCUGUACACACGGAUAACAUACCGAAAGGUAUGCUAAUACGGGAUAAUACAUUUGAGAGGCAUCUCUUGAAUAUCAAAGGUGAGCCAGUACAGGAUGGACCCGCGUCUGAUUAGCUAGUUGGUAAGGUAACGGCUUACCAAGGCGACGAUCAGUAGCCGACUUGAGAGGGUGAUCGGCCACAUUGGAACUGAGACACGGUCCAA